GGGUUGUGAGGUUAAGCGACUAAGCGUACACGGUGGAUGCCCUGGCAGUCAGAGGCGAUGAAGGACGUGCUAAUCUGCGAAAAGCGUCGGUAAGGUGAUAUGAACCGUUAUAGCCGGCGAUGUCCGAAUGGGGAAACCCAGUGCAAUUCGUUGCACUAUCGUUAACUGAAUACAUAGGUUAACGAGGCGAACCGGGGGAACUGAAACAUCUAAGUACCCCGAGGAAAAGAAAUCAACCGAGAUUCCCCCAGUAGCGGCGAGCGAACGGGGAGCAGCCCAGAGUCUGAAUCAGCUUGUGUGUUAGUGGAACGGUCUGGAAAGUCCGACGGUACAGGGUGAUAGUCCCGUACACCAAAAUGCACAGGUUGUGAACUCGAAGAGUAGGGCGGGACACGUGGUAUC
rnacentral:rRNA from 1 species